rnacentral:rRNA from 1 species
AGCAGCCGCGGUAAUUCCAGCUCCAAUAGCGUAUAUUAAAGUUGUUGCAGUUAAAAAGCUCGUAGUUGAAUUUCGGGGUUAGUAAGUUGGUCAGCCUUCGGUAUGUACUGGCUUUACUGAUUCCUCCUUCUUGACGAACCGUGAUGUCAUUAAUUUGGUGUUGCGGGAAAUCAGGACUGUUACUUUGAAAAAAUUAGAGUGUUUAAAGCAGGCUAACGCUUGAAUACAUUAGCAUGGAAUAAUGAAAUAGGACGUUAAUCCUAUUUUGUUGGUUUCUAGGAUCGACGUAAUGAUUAAUAGGGAUAGUUGGGGGCAUUAGUAUUCAAUUGUCAGAGGUGAAAUUCUUGGAUUUAUUGAAGACUAACUACUGCGAAAGCAUUUGCCAAGGAUGUUUUCAUUAAUCAAGAACGAAAGUUAGGGGAUCGAAGACGAUCAGAUACCGUCGUAGUCUUAACCAUAAACUAUGCCGACUAGGGAUCGGAUGAUGUUAUUUUUAAUGACUCA